GAUGAACGCUAGCGGGAGGCUUAACACAUGCAAGUCGAGGGGCAGCAUAGGGUAGCAAUACUCUGAUGGCGACCGGCGCACGGGUGAGUAACGCGUAUGCAACCUACCCUGUACUGGGGGAUAACCCGGAGAAAUUCGGACUAAUACCCCAUGAAGAUAUUGAUGGGCAUCCAUUGAUAUUUAAAGUUCUGGCGGUACGGGAUGGGCAUGCGUAACAUUAGCUAGUUGGCAGGGUAAUGGCCUACCAAGGCAUCGAUGUUUAGGGGUCCUGAGAGGGUGAUCCCCCACACUGGUACUGAGACACGGACCAGACUCCUACGGGAGGCUG
rnacentral:rRNA from 1 species